UGAUCGUACAAUUAGUAAAUUACCUGUAACGCCGUCAAUGCAGCCGAUUGAAACCUUAUUUCUGUUACAAAGACAUAUGAGAAAUGUCUUUUACAAGUCGUUGGAAUGCCACUUUUGGAAUCAGAAGUUCUGUGGUUCUCUGAAAUUUUCUUAUUUCCGACAGAGCAUUAUUUCCUGGCCUAAAUUUUUUCACUUUUUUAAUGCCACCUCUUAAUUCAUUUUUGAAUUGUUGUCUUUUGACUGACAGGUAUUGCCGAACGUAAUUGAAUUUUGGCGUUGCAAGUUUUAUCGCUUGUUUGGUUCUUGCCAUGAUAUCAUCGUCUGCUUUUAU
rnacentral:lncRNA from 1 species